rnacentral:rRNA from 1 species
CCUAUGGGUGGCUGCAGUGGGGAAUAUUGGACAAUGGGGGCAACCCUGAUCCAGCCAUGCCGCGUGUGUGAAGAAGGCCCUCGGGUUGUAAAGCACUUUCAGUGAGGAAGAACGCCUGGUGGUUAAUACCCAUCAGGAAAGACAUCACUCACAGAAGAAGCACCGGCUAACUCCGUGCCAGCAGCCGCGGUAAUACGGAGGGUGCGAGCGUUAAUCGGAAUUACUGGGCGUAAAGCGCGCGUAGGUGGCUUGAUAAGCCGGUUGUGAAAGCCCCGGGCUCAACCUGGGAACGGCAUCCGGAACUGUCAAGCUAGAGUGCAGGAGAGGAAGGUAGAAUUCCCGGUGUAGCGGUGAAAUGCGUAGAGAUCGGGAGGAAUACCAGUGGCGAAGGCGGCCUUCUGGACUGACACUGACACUGAGGUGCGAAAGCGUGGGUAGCAAACAGGAUUAGAUACCCCGGUAGUC